AGCUUGCUGGGUGGAUUAGUGGCGAACGGGUGAGUAACACGUGAGUAACCUGCCCUUGACUCUGGGAUAAGCACUGGAAACGGUGUCUAAUACCGGAUAUUUCAACUGGCCGCAUGGUCUGGUUGUGGAAAGAAUUUUGGUCAAGGAUGGACUCGCGGCCUAUCAGGUAGUUGGUGAGGUAAUGGCUCACCAAGCCUACGACGGGUAGCCGGCCUGAGAGGGUGACCGGCCACACUGGGACUGAGACACGGCCCAGACUCCUACGGGAGGCAGCAGUGGGGAAUAUUGCACAAUGGGCGAAAGCCUGAUGCAGCAACGCCGCGUGAGGGACGACGGCCUUCGGGUUGUAAACCUCUUUUAGUAGGGAAGAAGCGAAAGUGACGGUACCUGCAGAAAAAGCACCGGCUAACUACGUGCCAGCAGCCGCGGUAAUACGUAGGGUGCAAGCGUUGUCCGGAAUUAUUGGGCGUAAAGAGCUCGUAGGCGGUUUGUCGCGUCUGCUGUGAAAACUGGAGGCUCAACCUCCAGCCUGCAGUGGGUACGGGCAGACUAGAGUGCGGUAGGGGAGAUUGGAAUUCCUGGUGUAGCGGUGGAAUGCGCAGAUAUCAGGAGGAACACCGAUGGCGAAGGCAGAUCUCUGGGCCGUAACUGACGCUGAGGAGCGAAAGCAUGGGGAGCGAACAGGAUUAGAUACCCUGGUAGUCCAUGCCGUAAACGUUGGGAACUAGAUGUGGGGGCCAUUCCACGGUCUCCGUGUCGCAGCUAACGCAUUAAGUUCCCCGCCUGGGGAGUACGGCCGCAAGGCUAAAACUCAAAGGAAUUGACGGGGGCCCGCACAAGCGGCGGAGCAUGCGGAUUAAUUCGAUGCAACGCGAAGAACCUUACCAAGGCUUGACAUAUACGAGAACGGGCCAGAAAUGGUCAACUCUUUGGACACUCGUAAACAGGUGGUGCAUGGUUGUCGUCAGCUCGUGUCGUGAGAUGUUGGGUUAAGUCCCGCAACGAGCGCAACCCUCGUUCUAUGUUGCCAGCACGUUAUGGUGGGAACUCAUAGGAGACUGCCGGGGUCAACUCGGAGGAAGGUGGGGAUGACGUCAAAUCAUCAUGCCCCUUAUGUCUUGGGCUUCACGCAUGCUACAAUGGCCGGUACAAAGGGCUGCAAUACCGUAAGGUGGAGCGAAUCCCAAAAAGCCGGUCUCAGUUCGGAUUGAGGUCUGCAACUCGACCUCAUGAAGUCGGAGUCGCUAGUAAUCGCAGAUCAGCAACGCUGCGGUGAAUACGUUCCCGGGCCUUGUACACACCGCCCGUCAAGUCAUGAAAGUCGGUAACACCCAACGCCAGUGGC
rnacentral:rRNA from 1 species